AUGUAUGGCAAAAUAUAAAACCCCCAUUGAUUAAAACUACUUUAAACUUUUUAAGCCCAAUUUUCUAAACCAAUAAUCAAUCCCUAACUGAUUAAACCCAAACAAUGCAAAUUUAACUCCAACCAAAAACUUAUCCAAAAAAAUUCGAAAAGGGGGAAGAUUGAGAAUGAACCCUAGAUCUACUAGCCGCCGCGGUAUUCAUCUCUUCGCCGUUGUCACCAUCAGGCAUAAAGCUCGCCGUAGCGUCUGAGAUCAGAGGGAGAGUAACCGGCGACGCCCGCGACACCAUCCUUGCCGAGGUCCAGGAGCAGGUUUCCAUCCUCAACUCCACUUUCUCAUGGAAGGAGUCAGAUCGAGCCGCCGCCAAGCGCGCCACUCACGCGCUCGCGGAUCUUGCCAAAAACGAGGAAGUGGUGAACGUGAUUAUCGAAUGAGGAGCUAUUUCGACUUUGGUUCAGCAAUCAGCACCUCCAAGUUCCUCCCGUGACGGAAGAAGGCCUCGUUCAGAAGCUAUUGCCGUUUGAGCAUGAGGUUGAGAAAGUGAGUGCUUUUGCACUUGGACUUCUUGCCACUGUAGUUGCCGCGAUGAAAGCUUCUGAAUCGAGCCACUGUUUCAGUGAAAGCAGUAAUGGAAUCAAAGUGCUGAAUGCUAAAAACACAAUGCAGAAAGCAAAGGAAAAGAAUCUAAAAGGUUCCAGAGAGAAGCAACAAUUCUCCAGAGAGUCUUCAAUAACUUCUAUGUGUGUGGUGGAAACUGCAGGUGGAGUUGCGAGUCCCGGUGCUUCUAGAUCACUUUAAUGUGACUUAUAUAAGUGAAUUUGGUGCUCCAAAAUUUUGGUCUGCUAUUUGCACAUUUCUGGAACAAUUUCUGCUUAUGAGAGCUUGACUCUUCAAGGUUAUGAUGUUGUUGCUGUUGUUUUGGAAGAUCACGGCCUUCUAAACGAGGGUCGAAUAAUGUCUUAUAUAUGCGAACAAGCUUCCUGUUCUAGUGCUACCCCCUGUUCCAAAAGGUUUGUUUCGAGUGGAAUAUUUGGUUUCAUCCUCAAAACUUUUUGACUAAUUGCCAUUUGUCUUUUAUCUUUUGUUAUUACUAUAUUUAUCUAUUUAGUUAUUUUUAAUAAUGCUUCUUAAAUCUAUGAAUUUUUAUUUUGCAAUACUACGUGGAAUAUCUUAGGAGACCGAACUAUCUUGAACUUGCUGCACUUAGUGUUUAUUUUAGAAUUAGAGUCAUGAAUUCUAUACAAUUACUACAGGUGUCAUUAUAUGGUGAUAAGUGAUAACUUGUUACUAUAUGAUUCUAGUUUGUUAGUUUUUUUAAAGGCUCAGAGCACAGAAGUUGUAGCUUUGCUAUUUGAUGCCUGUGCUAGUUGGUGGACUCAAGGACCUAAUGCUAUAUUACAGAUUAUGCUUCCAGAAGCCGUUGCAAUAGUUAUAGCACCAAGAGACAGUUCAAGGUGAAGACGGUGGCUCGGAUUGUGGAAAGUGAUGCAGGGAAAGUAAUUUGCAGGGAAGCAGAGAGGAUCAAACCUGCGGCUGUAGUUCUGGGAUCAAGAGGCAGAAACUUAAUUCAAAGUGUGCUACAGGGAAGUGUUGGAGAGUACUACUACCACCACUACAAAGCAGCACCUGUUGUCAUCGUUCCUGGAAAAGAUGUUAGAGAUGCAUCAAUAUUGUAGUGAAGCUUUGUACGAAUGUCAAUUGGCCUUGUUAAUAUAUCUAACAGUCAUGUUUAGUGAAAUAAAGAUUGGUUCUGACUCAUUUUCACCAAGAAUAGAGAUGUUUUCCUUGCAUAUGUUCACAUGUUAACCACUAGCAUGUUAUUAAUUCAAUGGCUUAGUAACUCAUUUUCUCAUUGUGCUGUUUAGACUUUCUUUGAUGUUACAAAGCAUUUGGACAA